UUCACCAAUUGCGCUUAAAUUUUCAGUCAAAACUUUCGCUCAAAACUUUUCGCUCACAAUUUUUUCGCUCAGAAAUUUCGGUUCCCUCCACAUUACCUUCCAUCUUCUCAAUUAGGUUUAAGAUUAGUUUUCUCUCAUCCUCCAAUCCUCCAUAGGUGACACCAGUUGAUACCAAAAUCUUGAACUCAGAAGCGCGGGAUUCUAGGAGAGGGUGUGAACAACUCGCGCAAACAUUGAUCGGGUUUUUCAUCCUUGAUUCUUAACCUGAUUACACGAAACUCCAUUCCAGCGGUUUUUUAAGGUAAUUUUCCUCUUUUUUAUUUUAAUUCUUUUCUAAAUUUGGCUAGCUUUCUAAUUAUUUUCGAAAUUUAGUUGAAUUUUCCCAAUCCUUUUCAAAUUUUGAUUGAAAUUUCCUAAUUCGUUUUGAUUUUUGGGUGUAAUUACAUAUUAAUUCGGUUGGGUUGUUCCUUUGUCAUCACUUCGCUCCUUCCCCAAAUUGAGGUAUUAAGAGCAAACAAAUUCGCCAUUCUCUGAUGAUUUUACGAAGCAUAUUAGUUCAUUUCAUAUUCAUUUUUAGCUGACUCAAGCUCUUCAUUGGCCUUCUGAAGCAUAUCCUGAAGCUGACGAUUCUGCAUUCGUAAUUCACUAGCUUCGGUCAAUGCUUUGUUAGCAAGCUUCUCAUUAGCAUCAAAUGAGGGCUGCAUUUGUGAGGACAGUCUUUUGAAUUCAUCUUGAAUUCUUGCAGCUGUAUUAGCAUUUUUCCACCUCAUCAAUCUCAGGGUUUCUUCUGCGCGUAUUGCUCGCUGCUCCUGCUCCACUUUGGCAUGAGUAACCGCCUCCAGAUCAGCUUCAAACCUAGCCUUCUGCCUAUUUCUCUAGAUCUUCUUCAAGGUUCUGGACAUGAGCUUCAAGUUCCUUUACUGAAGCCAUAUUAUCAGAACACUCUUCUGACUGCUUUUUGAGUUCUUUCUCCAGUUUCUUGCUGGUGCUGUAAAAUCAAUUCCAUCAGGUUAACAAAAUUACAUCAUUGGAUGUUAAAUAUAAUUAGUACAUAGACCAAUAUAAGAAACAAUUACUUGAAAAAGCAGGAUUGACAACAAUGGAUGAUGACACUUCGGCAUGGGGGUCAUGAAAAGCAAAGCUUAUGUAGCAACGCCUAAGGACGGUAAGAAUUGUUUACUUCUGCUCUAAAUACUUGUUGUUGGUUGUUUAAGGACAGUACUAAUAACAAGGGGUAAAAACACUGAGUGAAAGAACCAGAUGCUGAGUGAAAGCACACUUAUUCCACCUACACGUGAGCACCUAAUUCUCCAAAAUCAUCAGCAUCUGCAGAGUUAUCAGGCAAUCGAAUUGCAUCGAACUUCUGCUUCAAGACUUCAAUUACAUUAAGCAAAAGUAGAGGAGCCUUGACUGCACCAGUGAAUUCAACAGUAAAUAUAAAUCUAUCCUCUUUCGGGUAAAUCUCAACAAGCCUCGACUUCCCCAUAGCUUCAGCUUUCUUAAUCACCUCAUCAUCAUAGGUAUAGGCCUCAGGAUCAACUACCCACCUGUAUGGGGCACGACAAAGAUACAUAAUGUUAAGUUUCUUAAAAUCUGAAAUACAAGCAUAGAGCCUAAGAAUGAAAACCGCCACAACCAACAAUUCUUCCAAGAUUGGCUUUAAAGAUCUAACAUAGUCAGAUAUCACCUCAAAGUUAUAAUAUCUUGUUCCAACUGAGCCAUUUGAUCAAACAUUAAAAUUAGAUAUGUUGGCUUAUACUAACAAUCAACGAUCAGUAACGUGUCAUCAGAGUCCUCGUUUCUCUUUCAGCCAGGUAAAUCACAUUUUCAUGGCUACAAGUUUUUACAUAUUCAUUCACACAAAGUCCAUAUCAGGAAUUGUAGUGUGCUAAACUUUAUCAACUCUUCAUCCUUAAAUCUCCAGGGAAUCCCUUCCCCAACAUUACAUGUGCACACAUCUCGAUCCAGGGACCUAUGUGACUUUGUGACUGCUUCUUUGGGAGCAUGGAGUAGGUUUCAAGGAGGGGAAGUUCUUUUUACGUAUUUCAGUUUGAGGAGAUUUUGCAGAUAUCUUUUGUUGAGUAUUUUUCUUUGGUGAUUUUUCACUGUUGCCAGACUUGUGAAUUUGGCUGCUUAGCUUUCUGAUGCCUCUAUGCGAGGGGCUCUUGACAUAGUUGACCGCUUUUCCACUUUGUGACCUUAUUAUAUGUCUCCCUUCACUAGAACGCAUUUGACAUGUGAAGAAAAUUAAUAGGAAUGCAUGAGUAAUCAUGCACAGAAUUCUGGCCAUGCUUAGAGAAGGAGACUCUUUAUUUUUAAGUUGGAUGAUAUUUCAAUAUUUGGAGAGAACUGAAGUUGUAAGGUUUGGGUCCCUGUCUUCUUCAGCAUGCCCAGCACCUGGGUUGUGACCUGGUGUAGUACGUACGUCUAAAAUCGUCUUCUAAUGCUGUUAAGCUAUUCCACAUUCUAGGACUUUUAGUUUGCUGGUUUGUUGAGGUCUUAUCUGUGUUAGUCAUGAAACAGUGACCAGCACCAGGGCUGUAUCCUGGUGCUGUAGGUCUGAAAUCAUGAAAAGUACUAGCUUAAAUAAUCUUGGUGUUGUACAGAUUGAGCGGUGAUGAUGUUGGGACAAUGUGCUUUGAGCAUAGGGUAAAAUUAAAUCAUGCCUACAUAUUAUGAGUUAAAUGGUGUAAGAAACUCCAGCUGAUUUACAGAAAUUGUCUUAAAGCUUAAAACUUAUAAAACAGUUCCAUUUUAAAGAGAAAGAUUCACAAACAGAUAGUAUUCUUGCCCUUUCAAUUAGUAAGAACAAGAACAUUAACACUUUCCCAAAUAUAGAAAACAACAUUAGCAUAUAUUUAUGUGAAUGUCAAUGACAAAAUACAACAUAUAUGUAUUUAAUAUUAUAUUGCCUAGCUUGCAUUAGAACCUAAGAUGGGAGUUAUUGGAUUUGAAAAGGAAUGCCCAAAUAAUACUAGGUCAGGGCCAUAGUUCCUGGUCUCUCUGGUGAUACAGAGUAUUUAUAAAAAAAACACCUUAGUACUAGCUUAGAUCCUAAUUGUUUUUAGAAUCUGACCUUUCGCUGCUAGAAGAAUGAAAUGUAAUCAGGAAAUGGAAAGUAAUAAGUUAGAGUCAGAAUUCAAUUGAUAAUUAAUAAUCACACAACACCAUGCAACCAAUUGUUAAUUGUAUCUUACCAUAUAUAAAAGGGAAUUUUGGCCUAUUAUACAACAAUGUAAUUUCAUCCCAAUUUAUGCUAAUCGUUUGGUUUUCUAUUUGUAUGGUAUGGUAUGUUGCGGUGUAUUAAAUAGAAAUAUUACCAUACCCGUGAUAUUAAUUAUCGUACAUUCUUUUGACUUGCAUAUAACUCUUUAUUUGGCAAACGCUGACUCAGACUUAUUUGGGGAAGCACAAGAUGUUAUCGACUUAUACUAGAUUAGUUGUUUCUUUGUCGCAUUGUAGUAGUUAAUUAGUUAUUUAUCUUGUCAUCUGCAUAUUAUUAGAUAACAUUUUGUUAAAUUGUUAAGACUAUUAGACAGUGUAUAUCACCUAUGUAAUGAUUUAUGACUUACUUUGUAUGAGUUAUUUAUUUAUAAUAUUAUUUUUAUCUUAUAAUUAUAUGUGAUUUU